AAUGAAUAUGCAUGAACUGCCACAUGUAAUUUGGAUGGAUCUCACAAAUAUAAUAUUGGAUAAAAUGGCCAAACACAAAAGGUGCUACUAUGAUUCUAUUUAUAUGAAGUUCAAAACCUAGCAAGAUGCAUUUGUGCUGGCACCAGUAAGGAUAGUGGUUACCUUAGGAAAGGAAAUAGGGUGUUUAUUGGGAGGGAGCAUGAGAUGGGCAUUGAUGUUCUGGUAUUGUUCUCUUUCUUCAUCUGGGUGAUGUUUACACACGUAUGUUCAACUUUUGACAAUUCAUUCAGGAUAUAUGCUUUUUUCUGGAUUUAUAAUAAACUUCAAAAAGAAGUUCAAUAAUAUUAAAAGAUGUAUUUAAAGAAAUGGAAAAAAUACAGUAAAAAUUUAGGAGAAAUGUAUACAAAAGAAUCCUACAAUCUCAGUUUAGUGAUAAGUAAAUAAGUAAGUAAAUAUCAAAGAAUGUAAACAAUGAUGGAAGAAUGUACCAUAGAAUAUUAAUUUUUAAAAUAGCUUUAUUGAGAUAUAAUUGACGUACAAUGAACUGCUCAUAUUUCAAGUGUAUAACUUAAGUUUUGACACUCAUGCACACCUGUGAAACCAUCGCCACAAUCCUGCUAGUGAACAUAUCCAUCACGCCUCAGCUGAAAUUUCCUCGUGCCCUUCAUAAUCCCUCCAGCCCCUCUCCUCCCCUCCAGCCCUAUCCCCAAACCAGUCAUAACGGUUUCUGCCUCUAUAGUUUACCUUUUCUACAGUUUUAUAUAAUAGAAUCAUACUUUUGGCUUCUUCCACUCUGUGAUGAACUGAAUGUUUGUGAGCCCCCCCAAUUCAUAUGUUGAAGCCCCAAACCCUAAUGUGAUUGUAUUUGGAGGUGGAACAUUUUGGAGGUAAUUAGGUUUAGAUACAGUCAUGAAAGUGGGGCCUCCAUGCUGGGAUUAGUGUCCUUAUAGGAAGAGGAAGAGAGAUCAGAGUUUUCUCUCUUUCCCCACCGUAUGAGGACACAGCAAAAAGGCAGCUAUUUGCAUUGCCAGGGAGCAGGGUUCUUACCUGGAACCACACCUGCUGGCCCUUUGAUCUUGGACUUCUUAGCCUCCAGAACUAUCAGAAAUAAAUGUCUGUUGCUUAAGCCAUCCAGUCUAUGGCAUUUUGUUAAAGGAGCCCAAGCUAAGACACAGAAUGAUUAUUUUGAGAUUCAUCCUGUUGCUGCAUGUAUCAAUAAUUCUUUUCAUUUUACUACUAAGCAGUAUUCCAUUGUAUGGAUAUACCGCAGUCUUUAUUCAUUCCUCUCUUGGUGGACAUACAAAUGCAAAUUUUUUCUCUGGUGCAGUGAUUUUUAUUUUC
rnacentral:lncRNA from 1 species